UUACGACCAUACCACGUUUAAACACCAGUCCCAUAAGAUCAGCGAAGUUAAGUAACAUCGCGCCUGAUCAGUAACUAGAUAGGAAUCCUCUUGAGAAUACCAGGUGCUGUAA